AUUUCUCUGAGAUGUUUGCAAGCGGGCCAGUCCCCUGAGCCGAUAUUUCAUACCACAAGAGUGUGGCGCUCCGCGGUCGGUGAGCAUGCUCGGUCCGUCCGAGAAGCCUGAAGACCAUGACGACACACUCACCUUGAACCAAGGGUUCAAGGGUUACAGCCUGCGGCGGCAUCUCGGAGAUUCC
rfam:Cedecea davisae DSM 4568 genomic scaffold Scaffold0, whole genome shotgun sequence.